UUCCUAUUAGGUUAAUCUUGUCAAAUUAAAUUCUGAAGUAGUCUUUAAUAGUUUCUUAACAAAUCUUUUAAUAAGAUUUUACAAAAAUAAUCAAAUAAAUACCAAUUCAACCACCGGUCAGACACUGGUACAAUAAAACACCGUUGUACCAUCAAUAAAUGACUUCGGUCAUCUAUUGGAACCUGCUAUUUUUCAAAAUACCAGUAGUUGACCGCAUGCACAGUUAAUAUCAAUUACUCAGA